rnacentral:rRNA from 1 species
CCUACGGGAGGCAGCAGUGGGGAAUAUUGGACAAUGGGCGAAAGCCUGAUCCAGCAAUGCCGCGUGAGUGAUGAAGGCCUUCGGGUCGUAAAGCUCUUUUACCAGGGAUGAUAAUGACAGUACCUGGAGAAUAAGCUCCGGCUAACUCCGUGCCAGCAGCCGCGGUAAUACGGAGGGAGCUAGCGUUGUUCGGAAUUACUGGGCGUAAAGAGUACGUAGGCGGUUAUUCAAGUCAGAGGUGAAAGCCCGGGGCUCAACCCCGGAACUGCCUUUGAAACUAGAUAACUAGAGUCUUGGAGAGGUUAGUGGAAUUCCGAGUGUAGAGGUGAAAUUCGUAGAUAUUCGGAAGAACACCAGUGGCGAAGGCGACUAACUGGACAAGUACUGACGCUGAGGUACGAAAGCGUGGGGAGCAAACAGGAUUAGAUACCCUGGUAGUCCACGCCGUAAACGAUGAUAACUAGUUGUUCGGUCACUUGGUGACUGAGUGACGCAGCUAACGCAUUAAGUUAUCCGCCUGGGGAGUACGGUCGCAAGAUUAAAACUCAAAUGAAAUUGACCGGNGUGUAGAGUUAGCGACGACGACGACGAGGAGGAGG